rnacentral:rRNA from 1 species
CGUCCCAAUCGCCAGCCCACCUUCGACAGCCUCCCUUCCGGUUAAGGGUCGGG